rnacentral:rRNA from 1 species
AUUGAACGCUGGCGGCAUGCCUUACACAUGCAAGUCGAACGGCAGCACGGGGCAACCUGGUGGCGAGUGGCGAACGGGUGAGUAAUGCAUCGGAACGUACCUUUCAGUGGGGGAUAACGUAGCGAAAGUUACGCUAAUACCGCAUAUUCUGUGAGCAGGACAGCAGGGGAUCGCAAGACCUUGCGCUGAUUGAGCGGCCGAUGUCAGAUUAGCUAGUUGGUGAGGUAAAGGCCCACCAAGGCGACGAUCUGUAGCGGGCCUGAGAGGAUGAUCCGCCACACUGGAACUGAGACACGGUCCAGACUCCUACGGGAGGCAGCAGUGGGGAAUUUUGGACAAUGGGGGCAACCCUGAUCCAGCCAUGCCGCGUGAGUGAAGAAGGCCUUCGGGUUGUAAAGCUCUUUCGGCCGGGAAGAAAUCGCACGGGCUAAUACCCUGUGUGGAUGACGGUACCGGAAUAAGAAGCACCGGCUAACUACGUGCCAGCAGCCGCGGUAAGAC